rnacentral:rRNA from 1 species
AGCGAACGCUGGCGGCAGGCCUAACACAUGCAAGUCGAACGAACCCUUCGGGGUUAGUGGCGGACGGGUGAGUAACACGUGGAAACGUGCCUUUAGGUUCGGAAUAACUCAGGGAAACUUGUGCUAAUACCGAAUGUGCCCUUCGGGGGAAAGAUUUAUCGCCUUUAGAGCGGCCCGCGUCUAAUUAGCUAGUUGGUGAGGUAAUGGCUCACCAAGGCUACGAUCAGUAGCUGGUCUGAGAGGAUGACCAGCCACAUUGGGACUGAGACACGGCCCAAACUCCUACGGGAGGCAGCAGUGGGGAAUCUUGCGCAAUGGGCGAAAGCCUGACGCAGCCAUGCCGCGUGGAUGAUGAAGGUCUUAGGAUUGUAAAAUCCUUUCACCGGUGAAGAUAAUGACUGUAGCCGGAGAAGAAGCCCCGGCUAACUUCGUGCCAGCCGCCGCGGUAACAC